rnacentral:rRNA from 1 species
UGACGAGUUUGAUCCUGGCUCAGAUUGAACGCUGGCGGCAGGCCUAACACAUGCAAGUCGAGCGGGGUUUUCGGACCUAGCGGCGGACGGGUGAGUAAUGCGUAGGAAGCUACCCGAUAGAGGGGGAUACCAGUUGGAAACGACUGUUAAUACCGCAUAAUGUCUACGGACCAAAGUGUGGGACCUUCGGGCCACAUGCUAUCGGAUGCGCCUACGUGGGAUUAGCUAGUUGGUGAGGUAAUGGCUCACCAAGGCGACGAUCCCUAGCUGGUUUGAGAGGAUGAUCAGCCACACUGGAACUGAGACACGGUCCAGACUCUACGGGAGCAGCAGUGGGGAAUAUGGACAAUGGGCGCAAGCCUGAUCCAGCCAUGCCCGCAUGUGUGAAACGAAGGUCCUUCGGGUUGUAAACGCACUUUCGAGCGAGGUAGGAA